UACGGAGGGGGCUAGCGUUGUUCGGAAUUACUGGGCGUAAAGCGCACGUAGGCGGAUAUUUAAGUCAGGGGUGAAAUCCCGGGGCUCAACCUCGGAACUGCCUUUGAUACUGCAAGUCUCGAGUCCGAUAGAGGUGAGUGGAAUUCCUAGUGUAGAGGUAAAAUUCGUAGAUAUUAGGAAGAACACCAGUGGCGAAGGCGGCUCACUGGAUCGGUACUGACGCUGAGGUGCGAAAGCGUGGGGAGCAAACAGG
rnacentral:rRNA from 1 species